rnacentral:rRNA from 1 species
CCCUUAGAUGUUCUGGGCCGCACGCGCGCUACACUGAUGCAUUCAACAAGUUUUACCUUGGCCGAGAGGCCUGGGAAAUCUUUCAAAUAUGUAUCGUGAUAGGGAUAGAUUAUUGCAAUUAUUAAUCUUGAACGAGGAAUUCCUAGUAAAUGCAGAUCAUCAUUCUGCGUUGAUUACGUCCCUGCCCUUUGUACACACCGCCCGUCGCACCUACCGAUUGAAUGAUCCGGUGAAGCCUCGGGAUUGUGCCCAGAGAACUUUAUUGUGAUUUGGGUGUGAGAACUUGUCUAAACCUUAUCAUUUAGAGGAAGGUGAAGUCGUAACA